GCCGCGAGGCAGAGCAAACCCCUAAAAGCCAUCCCAGUUCGGAUUGCAGGCUGCAACCCGCCUGUAUGAAGUUGGAAUCGCUAGUAAUCGCGGGUCAGCAUGCCGCGGUGAAUACGUUCCCGGGCCUUGUACACACCGCCCGUCACACCAUGAGAGUCGGGAACACCCGAAGUCCGUAGCCUAACCGCAAGGAGGGCGCGGCCGAAGGUGGGUUCGAUAAUUGGGGUGAAGUCGUAACAAGGUACC
rnacentral:rRNA from 1 species